CCCGGGCCGGCGCGUGGGCUGAGUAGCGGUGCGGCCAAAGCAAGAGAGGGUGUGAUGGUCUCCGAAGAUGAAAGGGUAGAGCACAGCAUUGCGCUACAGGAGCCUCCACACCCGCACCAGCAGGCACAGGAAGAGCUUCUUCCCUGAGGCUGUGACACUGCUGAACCUCUCAUCACAGCGAGGAUUUCUUACUCUAGUAAGAUAACAUCUUUCCUGACAAGGGCCUACAGUCACCAGCAGGAUAGGAGGGAGUGGAUUACAUUUUGAUUGUACCUGCAUCCCAGCUUUCCUAACUGGAAACUGCACUCGUGACUUGAGACUGCCAUCUGGGCUCCACUGAAUAUGAGGAUUGAUAGACCUUUAAAAUAUCUUAAAAUGAUAUUGCUUAAGUACCCAUGGCUGUGAUCGUGGAUUGCAGGUGUAGUAGUCCUAAAUGGCAAAGUUUGAUUAUUUCCAUUAGAGUUGCACACAAACAGUUGCCACUUACCAAUACCAUCUUCAAGAGUUUGUACACCAAGUUCUGUGGGACAAUAGUGUUGAAUGCUGAACUGAAAUCCAGAAGCACCAUUCUGUUCGCCUAAAAGAAUUACAGUCUGCAAAGUGAAUUUGAAUGAAUCAAGUACAGACAAACCAUUUGUCUUUGCUCUUACCAUGAGGUAGAAAGAAUGAAGGUUGCCAUUUUGUAAACUGCUCUGCAUCCUCCAUUUUGUGAACUGGAGUUGUUUGGCUGGAAUAGUGUUUUUAAAGUAGACACAAUGAUGCUCCAGGUAAUCUGCUGGACUAGAGAUCAUUUCCAAAUAAAAAAAACUAUUUGUGAGGUGCUCUUUGGUUAGAUAUAAUAUGCAGGUCUGUGUCUGCCUUGAGUGGUUCAAGUUGGUUGUUGGUCUAGUAACUGAUUUAGAACAAAGAACCAUAAAAACUUGUGGUAAGGACAAUGAAUGGUUGCUGGCUUGGACUACAGCCAAGAAGAAAGAUGUUGAAGGUCAGUCAGAUGACCCAUAGCCAAUAACAGUGAAAUGUAACAUUUCAAUCGGUAAGGAAUAAGUGUAAAAGCAGAUGCUUCAAUAGUGAAAGUAGCAAUAGCUCGCUUAGCAGCAUUGCGGAUGUGGUGUACCCCACACACGUGGAGAUCGAAGUGGGACCACAAGGAACACAUGGCUAGUGUAGACUCCAUUUACUGGUAUUACCGCUUCUAUACUUUGACUGUUCUUAGAGGGUCAGAAAAACUUUUUGUAGGUGUGCACACAGGUAUGUGGUUGUGUAAAUUCAUAUGCUCUUUCAUUGAGACAAUAAAGGUAUUUGUCAGUUAUUACAGAUUCUCUCUGUGCCUCUCUGAUCAUUGUUACAAAGUGGUAGAUCCUUCUAUUAGAAUUGGGCUCAAGGAUAAAUCUUUGUUGAACCAAUGGGAGACUUGAGAUGGACCACAUGAGUGAGAAACAGGGAGGUCUGGUGCUGGGUAGCUGAUUGUUACUGACCCAGGAUGAAGUAUUCAGGGAAUUCUACAAGUCUGAAGAACUUGGACUGUUUUGAUUGGAGGGGACUCCUCCAGAAAUAAGUAUUGGGAAAAUGGUCACAGUACAGGGAGUAUGCUGGACACACCAGGUUCUUUUUAAUAUUUUUUCCAGGGGGAAUUGUCAGACAAGGAAUUUAAACAAUUAUAAAAGGUAGUUGCAGUUGCCUGCCCAUUUGAGGGUUUGAUAGAAAGUCGGCACAAAGCUGGUGCCGACCGAGAUAUAUUAAGGCAGGAAAUCAAAAGGCUUCGUGAGGAGGUAGUACAGCUUAAGGAAAAGCUUACCGAUUUACAGGCACAGAGGUACGCAUUUCAUAGAUCUGGACCAUUUUCAGUUACCGUGUGAAAAGCUGGUUAAAGAAAACAAAACACAGGAGGAAGCAGCAGCAGUCCGGGUAGCUGAGAAUGAGGUGGAGAGGUUGAAGUAGCAGUGCAGUGAUUUAAUGACGGUUGUGAUACAGAAAUCACCAAAUGAAAAGAAAAACACAGGAGAUCAAAGUGUUUAAAGCAGGUACGAAAGCUGCAGGGCCAACUUGGUGUCCAGAGAGGAAUAAUAUGUGCUUUUGGAUCUGAAAGAGGGGAGGAGGAUGAAUAUGGAGGUUAAGAUUGGAAUGAUUUAGCAGAUAAUGUGACCGGAUAUAAUUAUGAUGAGGAUCGCCUGAUGACGCACAACUAAAAAGAACUGGUGAUGGUGAUACCCAUGGCGUGUUUGCCCCCGCCCCACUAGUUGCUAUCAAAGAGGGAGGAGCCGGUGCAGGAAAUCAAAACCUGAAUAUAACAUACACCACCCUGUUCGGAGUACAGCAGCUGAGGAAUAUUGCUAAGGAUGUCGGGAUAUGUAUGCCGGGGGAUGAUCCCAGGGAACUAUUCCAUGCAAUUUGGUACCAGAGAGCAUUACAUGGUCUAGAUGACGCCGAGCUAAUUGUAUCCGAACAUACACUUCGCUUUGCCAGAAGCACUGCGACACCCUUUCGGAAAAGACAUACUGGAUACCAAUAAUUUACUGGAUAGCUAAAAAUUUUCCUCUAUUUCUCUUGGUUCUUUCAUUAAGCUUUUUAAAAUCCGUGUCCUCUGCUCUUUUGCCCUGCUCUGAUUGGAAGUACCUUUUCAUCAUCCAUUUUAUCAGUACACCUGAUCACUGUGAACUCAUGCUAUGAAACUCCUUGAACUCUGUCCUAAGGUGAGCAAUUGUGAUUUCUUAUUCCUGCCAGUCACCUUAUGUACAGAUAGCUACUCCUGUACUUAGUCACUAUAUGUACAGAAUCAGUAUAUGUAUAUAAGCUAAUCCUAUGUCUAUAUGACCAUACUCAGAGUGUUGUACGUUAUGUUUUAUCCGAUUGCUUUUAUAUUCGUGUUUUAUGAUUUGUUUUAUUAUGUUCUUUAUGCUUAUUGUGUUUCUUUAUGCUGUAUUGGAUCUGGAGUAACACUCAUUUUAUUUUCCCUUACACUUUUGUACUGGGGAAUGACAAUAAACAAUUUUGAAUCUUAAAUCUUUACAGAUGUGAAGACCCUCAUCUCUGAAACCAUUCCAAUCAACUUUUCCUGUGACUUCUCCAUAUAGCGUUUGCCCGGUGUCAAACACCACGCGGUGCAUUGAUGGAACAAUGUGUGAAAGCCACAGGGAACCUUGCUUUGUAGUUCCCAGGGGCUUGUGAACUUUAUCUCAUCUUUGGCGUGCUUGAUAGAACAGCUUGUUCUAUAUUUUAUCUCUAAGUGCUUUGUUAUCAGAUUUUAAACUGCUGUAUGUUUAGAUAAUAUCUUGUUCCAUUGAUUAAAAUUACUUCCAAAAUAAAAUUCAA